rnacentral:tRNA from 1 species
GCGGGAGUAGCUCAACUGGCAGAGCGGCGGUCUCCAAAACCGCAGGCUGGGGGUUCGAGUCCUCCCUCCCGCG